CUCUGACCAAUCAAGCAAAGUUCGGUGCCCUUCUGAAAUGUAUGGCAUUGUAGUCGUUGAUUUCAUUGGACGACUGGUAGGAUGUUUCAUCGAGUCCAUAGGUUCAUCGAGGGCUAACUUUGCCAACUUAAAAAGGUACUCUGACCAAUCAAGCAAAGUUCGGUGCCCUUCUGAAAUGUAUGGCAUUGUAGUCGUUGAUUUCAUUGGACGACUGGUAGGAUGUUUCAUCGAGUCCAUAGAUCCAUCGAGGGCUGGCUUUCCCAACAUAUAAAGGUACACUGACCCAUCAGGCCAAGUUCGGUCCCCUUCUGAAAUGUAUGUUGGGUCAUCCUUUGCCAUAGUUCUUGAUAGACUGUCACACAGGUCUUCGAGCAUUUGCUCGUUGCU